rnacentral:rRNA from 1 species
UCCCCUAGUAACGGCGAGUGAAGCGGGAACGGCUCAAAUUUGUAAUCUGGCGGCCCCCCAGGCCGUCCGAGUUGUAAUCUGGAGAAGCGUUUUCAGUGCCGGCCCGCGUACAAGUCCCCUGGAACGGGGCGUCGCAGAGGGUGAGAAUCCCGUCUCUGACGCGGCCUGCCGGCGCGCUGCGAUGCGCUCUCGAAGAGUCGAGUUGUUUGGGAAUGCAGCUCAAAACGGGUGGUAAAUUCCAUCUAAAGCUAAAUACUGGCGAAAGACCGAUAGCGAACAAGUACCGUGAGGGAAAGAUGAAAAGCACUUUGGAAAGAGAGUCAAACAGUACGUGAAAUUGUUGAAAGGGAAACGCUCGGAGUCAGUCGCGUCUCCCGGGACUCAGUCGCGCUCGGGCGCGGCGUACUUCCCGGGUCAGGACGGGCCAGCGUCGAUUUCGACCGUCGUAAAAAGGCGAGAGGAACGUGGCACCUUCGGGUGUGUUAUAGCCUCGCGUCCGCAUGCGACGGUGGGGGAUCGAGGGACGCAGCGCGCCCCCCCUUUCGAGAGGGGGCCGGGGUUCGCCCACGUAACGCGCUUAGGAUGCUGGCUUAAUGGCUUCGA